rnacentral:misc_RNA from 1 species
UGUGGGAGCUGGCUUGCCUGCGAUAGCGGUGUUGGACUCACCAUCGUCAUCGCAGGCAAGCCAGCUCCCACA